rnacentral:rRNA from 1 species
UACGGAGGGUGCAAGCGUUAUCCGGAUUCACUGGGUUUAAAGGGUGCGUAGGUGGAUUGGUAAGUCAGUGGUGAAACCUCUGGGCUUAACUCAGAAACUGCCAUUGAUACUAUCAGUCUUGAAUACCGUGGAGGUCAGCGGAAUAUGUCAUGUAGCGGUGAAAUGCUUAGAUAUGACAUAGAACACCAAUUGCGAAGGCAGCUGGCUACACGAAUAUUGACACUGAGGCACGAAAGCGUGGGGAUCAAACAGG